UAUCAGUCUGCGGGGUCAUCUACGAAAGAUAAUCUGCUACCGGAUUUAAAAAUCUGGUUCACAGGCUAAACGGUAGUGGGUGCAUUAUGCAUUUUAGAUAUGGUCGGUCCCUGAAUCGCUUCAGGAUAACUUCAAGGCUCCGUAUUUANGUAUCAUAACCCUAUUAUGAGCGAAGUUGAUAUUAAAAACGUUCCGUAGGUGAACCUGCGGAAGGAUCAUUAAUGAGUAAGGGUCCCUCGGGGCCCAAACCUCCAACCCUAUGUACAUCUUACUUUGUUGCUUUGGCGGGCCGUGGUCUUGUGCCCGACUGGUUUCUACCCGUCCGCGCCCGCCAAUAGCCCAACCCAAAUUCUUUUAAACCGUCUCAAGUCAGUCUUAUAAAUACNAACAGUUAAAAACUUUCAACAACGGAUCUCUUGGUUCUGGCAUCGAUGAAGAACGCAGCGAAAUGCGAUAAGUAAUGUGAAUUGCAGAAUUCAGUGAAUCAUCGAAUCUUUGAACGCACAUUGCGCCCUCUGGUAUUCCGGGGGGCAUGCCUGUUCGAGCGUCAUUUCAACCCUCAAGCUCAGCUUGGUAUUAGGCGGCUGCUCCCUGCGAGCACCUCUGAAAAUUAGCGGCAGUUUGAUCAGACUUUGAGCGCAAUAGCUUUAUUCUCGCUGGAAAGUUCUGAUCGGGCUUGCCGAACAACCCCAAAUUUUUCAAUGGUUGACCUCGGAUCAGUAGGGAUACCCGCUGAACUUA
rnacentral:rRNA from 1 species